GUGUCUCGUUCGUUCAAAUCAAAUGAACACAUUUUGAUUUGGAUUCCUCUGUGCAGCUCAACCUCCUGCGAAGAAGACGGACAUGGAUGGCGUCCUUCUCCGAUGAUUUUGAGUGCUCUGAUAUUGAUAGGACAGCAUUGAAGGAGAAUUUGGGGAACUGAGCUGAAAAUAGAUUUCGGAAGUUGAAGGAGGUGCAAAGUAAAAGAAUUGCUGUGUGUGGGUACUUGUUAGAUCUGCUGGUGCACAUAAAUUGAUUCCACGUUUAGGUGAAGACAGGCCAGGGCUGGAAGAGUAAAUUAAGGGGUCGGGUGUGGUUUGAUGUCUCUCAGGAUAAAAUCAGUUGUAGACAAGUUUGUGCAGGAGCUGAAGGAAGCUCUGGAUGCAGACAUACAAGAUAGGAUCAUGAAAGAAAGGGAGAUGCAGAGUUAUAUUGAGGAGCGUGAACGUGAGGUUGCUGAGCGCGAAGCUGCCUGGAAGGCUGAACUCUCUCGUCGUGAGGCGGAAAUAGCAAGACAAGAAGCAAGGCUGAAGAUGGAAAGAGACAAUCUCGAAAAAGAGAAAAGUGUGCUGAUGGGAACUGCCUCGAACCAAGACAAUCAAGACGGAGCCCUUGAAAUUACGGUCAGCGGGGAGAAGUACCGUUGCCUCAGAUUUGCAAAGGCCAAGAAAUGAGACAGACGAGCAAAAUGACAUCCAACUAGAGACGGAAUGCUACACUAAUUUUUUGCUACAGAUUUCUCAAAGGUUCGACCAAAGAGGAGAUUGGACUGGACAUUGAUUUCAAGAAUAGUUUUGACGAGUAAACAUACGACCAUUUCGACAGUUUACUAUCCAAAGCCACAAGGAAAUACGAGUAAUUGAUGAACAAUGAACGCGCAUGGAUAUUGAUGAAAUCCAAUGAACAAAGGUUGAGAAGAACAAGCUUGAAAACGACGCGAAUGGAUAUGAUGUAAGUGACGAUAAAUCGAAUGUAUAUAGACAUUGCAUGUGAAGUAGAAAAGCGCGAGAGAAAGCGAUGGGCGAAAAAGAGUGGAAAUAAUUUGUAAGGUCGAACAAUGAGUGGCUGUAACAUGAGAGCUUAUCGUGUAUAUGGAGAGUUGAUCGCGUGUUUAAUUAAUUCUUUGGC